CAACACCUGUGACAUAUAAAUGAAGAAUCAGAAACAUAGAAAAGUUUCACAAAGCAGAAAAGAUAACCCCAUCUCAAAGUGGAAGCAUCAACCCAACUUUCUUGACUAAGAAUAUUGAAUCUUGUAAGAUUUAAUACAAAACUCAUGUAACCCCAGCUUUCAGAAGGUUGCCAUUAUUUUACCAUCAUCCUCUUCUUUUGCAUCAGGGCUGGGAACAAAAACGGGCUCAGAUGGCCAGCAGUCAUCCUGUCCCCACUGGAGCAUUUCCUUUGUCUGGGUAUUAAAUUUUGCAAUCUACAUGGUUGUGACAAGAAAAGAAGAAUAUCAGUGACCCUGACAGUGGCUUUUUCCAAAGCUCCUGGCACAUCACAGAAGGUUCAGCCCAAUUUAGCAGAAGAGUGAGGAUCUCAGUAGCUGUUCAAGAGACUUUCAUGGAACAUAAAGCUGGAGUAAGAAGCCUGAGUUUAUGAAUACUUUAUGAGGGAAAUGGUACAACAUGAACUUAUUCUUGAGAACUUAGGCAUUUCAUGUUUCUUUGCAUACGAAUGGCCCACCAAUGGGAAAACACUGACUUUAUAAAUGUUAAUUAUACCUUUGUAGGGACUGGACUCCACUGGACUUGUGUUGCAAAGACAUACUUGUAUUUUUUGCCAUUGUAGUCAUAGUUGAUGCGAGGCAGUUCUAUCCCUGCAUAAAAUAAAGUUUAAUACUUAGGAACAAGACAAGAGAAAACCUCAAAUGUACCUCUAUAUAGAUACACCAAUCUUCACGAGGUUUUGCCCUGUAAAAAACCUUGGAACUACUUAAUAGUGGUGUUGUAUAGACUUUCAAUAUCUGAAUUUCUAAGAAUCUGAAGAUGGAUGCUAACAUAAGUAAGCCAGGGCUGUUAGUUCAAAAGGCAACAAUUUUUUAUUCUUAGAGUCAUUAGACUGGAAUUUAUGAGGGAUUUUCUGGUUUGGGGUUUUUUUUUUCUUUCUUUAUAACUGGGAUUGAAUUGGAGGCUACCUUUCCAAGAAAAGACUUUCAUAUUAGGUAAUUUUGUAUUUACAUAUUCCUGUUAUUAUCCCCUGAUAAAAGGUUAAAAAUCCUCUUUCAAAGACAAUCUUUAUAAAAUGCAGCUAAACUUGAAGUACUACUUAUAACAGACUUAUUUAACUAAAAUUACUCUUUUAAUAAGUAGAUUUGCAAGGCAUAUUAAUAGUUGCAAGAUCAGGAAUCCUGUAUUAAUACAAAACUGAUGUAGUAUCAGAUAUUUAAAGGAUCUAUCUCACCUUCACACAGUAUUUCUGGUUGGCAAUAGAUGCUUCCAUCUUUCUCCUUUACAGCAGUUGCAGUAGAGGGAAGUGUGACCAAAUUAGAAUCCACUACAGCAUCCUAAAAGAGAAAAAUGCUGGAAAUGUCAUGGAUCUCUAAAAAUAUGCUUCUAAGUUAGAUUUUUCAUCAGGUUUGAUAUUAAUAUUAACAAUUUAUGGCAUUUUAGGUUCUGAGGUUUUCAUUAGAAAUCUUGCUGCACUCAGAGUAUUUUAUUAUAUCAUAGAAUAAUUAUUUUGAAUCACAAGUCCUUAGAAAUGUUUAGCUACACAUGGCUAUGGUCCAGAAGUACCAUAAAUUUGAGAAUUUAAUGAAGAAGAUGGGUUUGAAGGAGCAAGGUGUAGAAUUUUCACUAGAAGUCACCAAGGUUCAGUUUUUGCACCUGCUAAAAAUCAAGUGCAAAAUAGGUGUGAUAUACUCUAUAAUGUCCUACUGCUGAAUUCUUAAGAUUGCAGAACAGCUGGUGUGAUCCAAUACAUCCUUUGUCAUUGCUGCAGAGCUGUUUCUGAGAAAAGAACAGAGCAGCAAUGUUCCAGGAUGCAGAAAGAAAAAGUAAUAUCCAUUCCAAAGGUAUCAGGCAGAAACUUGCCCAAGUUGCUGGGCAGUAUAAAAUCUUCCCGGCAAACAAUGAUGUAAAAUGAUGCUUUAAAUUAAACUAAAAGAUAAAAUCUUUUCCUCUAUAUAUCAUACUUAAAUGAAAUCUUCUAGUUUUAAUUGAACCACUGCAGCAGUUGGGAGCAUGCAUGUAUUGUAUGUGGGUUUCCAGUGAAGUGUAAGAAACAGAUUGUGCAAAACCUCAUGCAUGCCCUUGCAGUUAACAGCCAAGUGGCUCUAUCUGCUUCUGUUUGAUGGCAUUUAACAAAUAAUUUCAUUGGGAAGAAAAUGACAUGUUCCUCAUAGCCCUGUUCUCCAGAGAGGAUGGUGUCAGCACCAGGAUCCAAUCCACAGAACCACAUCCAGCUGUCCACUGCCAUUUCCCACAGGACACACAAAAACCAAACCUCCUGCAAGCUUUGGGUAUCAUAGAAUCAGAAAUUUACACAUAAGGGCUGGCAAAUAAUAAUACAUCCAUUAUUCACACUGAUGUAUUUUAAAUUACCAAACAGAAAACAGGUUAAAAAGUGAUUUUCUUUCUACCUUGUCAUGCUGCAGAGGAACCACAAAUCUUUUGCAGGUUGGUAUGGAGGUAAGUUUGGCAUUCUCUUCAAAGUCUUUACUCAGGUUUUUUAAAUAAAACAUGUCAUACAAGCUAUUGUCUGUAUAGGCAAUAAUAUCAAAAAUAAUGUGGCCAUCCUCUUCAUAAGCAUUGAUGUGG